GGCAGGUUUGGACUCUUCAUUUGUGUGUGGUGACUCAUCUCCACAAGGAGGCCUUGCGGCUCUUUGCCGACGUGCUCCACGGUCACCCAGAUCUCCAUCCUCACUCUGUUGUAUUCACAAUGGCUCCCUAAUGCCAUGGCAGGCCCCUCAGCCUGGUCGUUUUCAGGAGCGAGAGAUUCUAGCUCGGUGCCUGUCCCAUAGCAGGUACUCAGCACACCGUGGCUGGGUGCAAGAAAGAGGAGGGGCUGGGCCAGACACUGCAGAGGGGCCACCUAAAAGCAUCUCCCAGACUUCUCGCCUAGAAUUCUUCUACCGGUGUGGACACAAAACCUCGAUUUCUCAGCUUCUCUUGCAGCUAAUGAGAAAGUUCUGGCCAAUAAGCUGUAAGUGCAGGUCUUCAAGGAACACUUUCUUUCCAGAAUAAGAGGUAAACUUCUCUAAGAGAACACCUUGGACGCCUUUGCCAUCCCCCUUCUUCCCACCUGGAAUGCAGACAUGAUGCUGGAAGGUACAACAGCUAUCUUGCAACCACGAGGCAGCAAGCCACACUCAGACUGGUCCAGGGAGAAAGAAUAAAGUACCUUGGUUCCUGAUGGUGAACUGAUGACCAUUACUGCUAGGCUGACUGACCGUGUGGAGGUUUCCCAAGAUGCUAAAAGAAAAAUCGUCCUGGGCAAAUCUGGUUAUUGGUCACCCUACCCAGCCCUGGACUUACUGACUCAAGAAACAUGUCAUACAGGGAGAAAAAUAAGCCCACCUUUAUCACAGCCAUCUAGUCAGGUUUAUUCAUUAUUCAUAGUCAAAAGAAUUCCUGCACAUGGAAGUUGAUAUUUCUAAGAUUCAACAAAACAAACCCAUAGAGAGGUGUAGGUCACAGGGGCCAGCUGCCUUUUCACAGGUUAACCCGGGUGAGUCCAAUAAUGAUUCUUUAUAAAAGUUUCAUUAUACUAAUUUCACAGGUGAAAAUAAUUGAGGCACCAAGACGGUUAGCCCAACUAGAAUCUAAAGCCCAUACAUUUUAUGCCAUGCCCUCUCCCUUUGCAAAGCCACUCUGACUCAUGUACUUUUAGUGUAAUAUGUGAUCAUCUAAUGUUAUCCUAGGCAUGGGCCUCAUGCUUUUCUAUUGAGUAAAGUUAAUGUGAGACACAAUUAUGAUUUUUCUAUGAUUUUUUGAUGCCAAAAAAUCCUAGUGAUCUGACUUGUCUUUAUAAGAUU
rnacentral:lncRNA from 1 species